GACGAACGCUGGCGGCGUGCUUAACACAUGCAAGUCGAACGGAAAGGCCCUGCUUUUGUGGGGUGCUCGAGUGGCGAACGGGUGAGUAACACGUGAGUAACCUGCCCUUGACUUUGGGAUAACUUCAGGAAACUGGGGCUAAUACCGGAUAGGAGCUCCUGCUGCAUGGUGGGGGUUGGAAAGUUUCGGCGGUUGGGGAUGGACUCGCGGCUUAUCAGCUUGUUGGUGGGGUAGUGGCUUACCAAGGCUUUGACGGGUAGCCGGCCUGAGAGGGUGACCGGCCACAUUGGGACUGAGAUACGGACCAGACUCCUACGGGACGCAGCAGUGGGGAAUAUUGCACAAUGGGCGGAAGCCUGAUGCAGCAACGCCGCGUGCGGGAUGACGGCCUUCGGGUUGUAAACCGCUUUCGCCUGUGACGAAGCGUGAGUGACGGUAAUGGGUAAAGAAGCACCGGCUAACUACGUG
rnacentral:rRNA from 1 species